AAAAGAUUUGUUUUCUAGAGAAACAAAGCAAAAUCUAGGUGCUGCAAGAAAAGUCACAGCCUUGGGGUUUCAGUGAAGAGACAGCCCAAAUGCUCUUGAAGUAGUCAGAAAAGUCUACAGGUGUGACUCCCUUAUGCCGCUCUCUCCUGCCAUUUGGGCAACAGCCAACUUCCGAGGCCAACCUUGUUUCUGGAGAAGCAUUCUUCCCACAUGGGAAAGGCAAGGAUGGUGCUGAGCCUGAUAACUUAUAAAUCCUUGCAGUCAAGCCUCAUGCUAAGAUGUUGAAAAACAUACUCUUAUCCCCAAUUUACAAAUGAAGAAAUGGAAGUCAAGACUUUUCCCAAGGCCACCAAACUGGUUAAGUGGCAAGUACUUAAGGCUCCCAAGUUCAGCAAUGUUUCUAAUAGACUUCUGCCUCUGUGUUCCCUGGACAACUCCAUUCCAGUGCAAGAUUCUCAUGGUUGAAUUCAUAUUUUAAGUGCUGUUUGUGGGGUUUUGAGCAGUUGCCAUUCUGAGGAGGAGCAGAGGAGCAUGGCUUUGCCAAAGUGUCUCCCAAUUAUGAGCACCAUCUGCAAGAGUCCACUUGGAAAAUACUCAAGAGUGGGCUUCUAUGACUUCUGCCUUGCCCUGGAGGUCCAAUACAGGUCUAGCUGAAGAUUCUUCCCUCUGGAGAGGACUGGGCCUCUUGUUUCAGAAAAUUGCAGCAAAAUGGAAGAAUAGAGAGAUAUGAACUUGUCAUGAGGGCAGAAGAUGAUCGGUUUCCAUAACUUGG